rnacentral:rRNA from 1 species
AGUGAACGCUGGCGGUAGGCCUAACACAUGCAAGUCGAACGGCAGCACAGUAAGAGCUUGCUCUUACGGGUGGCGAGUGGCGGACGGGUGAGGAAUACAUCGGAAUCUACUUUUUCGUGGGGGAUAACGUAGGGAAACUUACGCUAAUACCGCAUACGACCUACGGGUGAAAGCAGGGGAUCUUCGGACCUUGCGCGAUUGAAUGAGCCGAUGUCGGAUUAGCUAGUUGGCGGGGUAAAGGCCCACCAAGGCGACGAUCCGUAGCUGGUCUGAGAGGAUGAUCAGCCACACUGGAACUGAGACACGGUCCAGACUCCUACGGGAGGCAGCAGUGGGGAAUAUUGGACAAUGGGCGCAAGCCUGCUCCAGCCAUACUGCGUGGGUGAAGAAGGCCUUCGGUUUGUAAAGCCCUUUUGUUGGGAAAGAAAAGCAGCAGGUUAAUACCCCGCUGUUCUGACGGUACCCAAAGAAUAAGCACCGGCUAACUUCGUG